rnacentral:rRNA from 1 species
UACGUAGGGUGCAAGCGUUGUCCGGAUUUAUUGGGUUUAAAGGGUGCGUAGGUGGCUUUACAAGUCUUGGGUGAAAGUCUGCGGCUCAACCGUAGGAUUGCCUGAGAUACUGUGAAGCUUGAGUUUGGUUGAGGCAACUGGAAUUGGUGAUGUAGCGGUGAAAUGCAUAGAUAUCACCAGGAACGCCGAUAGCGUAGGCAGGUUGCUAAGCCGAUACUGACACUGAGGCACGAAAGCGUGGGGAUCAAACAGG